GAGGCUAUAGCUUAGUGGUAGAGUGUGUGCUUAGCAUGCGUGAGGUCCUGGGUUCAAUCCCCAGUACCUCCA
rfam:Camelus ferus unplaced genomic scaffold scaffold386, whole genome shotgun sequence.